GUGGGUGGAGAAUCCGAGCUACCGAUGAUCGUCCAGCAGGGGAGAUGGAGUUUGAGUGGCUCGUCACCUUUAGGCUGAUCAGCGGAGACGUUUCGAGGUUUGCGGGAGCGUAGGCGCACGAGCUACGUGUGGCGUGUGAAACGAGCUGCGGUAGCACUUGGUUGUGAUGGUCCAGGACAUUUUGUGUGCGUCGCGGUGGGGAUCGCUAGGCUGUCGUGCGCAUGUUUUACACCUGGACUGCAAUUGCGAUCGCAGGCGGGACUUGUGGUGGACGGGGACAGUGGUUGAUUUAGGGUUGGACGUAUGUGAUGAUGUGCGCUGGUGAUUUGACGCGGCGGACUCGCAGCGCAGUGAGUGGUGUGGAUGGGUUGGAGGGGAUCGGGUGCGUGAUGUCUGGUCGUGGUUUGGAACGCGUGACGAGUGGUCCGUUGUGUGUGUGUGUGUGUGUGCGUGCGGUCGCGCGCGAGUGUUGGAGCGGGUUCUAACCUGGGUGGUUGGUUGGAGUGAAGGAAUGCAGAAACGUGUGAGAAGGAAGUGAUGCGGAGGGCUUCGUAGCGAUCGCAAUGCGUUGGAG
rnacentral:lncRNA from 1 species